GAUCCUGGCUCAGAUUGAACGCUGGCGGCAGGCCUAACACAUGCAAGUCGAACGGUAACAGGAAGAAGCUUGCUUCUUUGCUGACGAGUGGCGGACGGGUGAGUAAUGUCUGGGAAACUGCCUGAUGGAGGGGGAUAACUACUGGAAACGGUAGCUAAUACCGCAUAACGUCGCAAGACCAAAGAGGGGGGACCCUUCGGGCCUCUUGCCAUCGGAUGUGCCCAGAUGGGAUUAGCUUGUUGGUGGGUAACGG
rnacentral:rRNA from 1 species